rnacentral:rRNA from 1 species
CAUGCCCCUUAUGACCUGGGCUACACACGUGCUACAAUGGUUGGUACAACGAGUUGCGAGUCGGUGACGGCGAGCUAAUCUCUUAAAGCCAAUCUCAGUUCGGAUUGUAGGCUGGCAACUCGCCUACAUGAAGUCGGAAUCGCUAGUAAUCGCGGAAUCAGCACGCCGCGGUGAAUACGUUCCCGGGCCCUU